GAUGAACGCUGGCGGUAUGCCUUACACAUGCAAGUCGUACGAGAGUUUUUAACUCAAGUGGCGGACGGGUGAGUAACACGUAAGAAUUUGCCUUUAGGAGGGGGAUAACAACUGGAAACGGUUGCUAAUACCCCAUAUGCUUUCGAGUGAAAUGGAUUUCCGCCUAAAGAGAAGCUUGCGGCUGAUUAGCUUGUUGGUGAGGUAAUGGCUCACCAAGGCGACGAUCAGUAUCUGGUUUGAGAGGACGAUCAGACACACUGGAACUGAGACACGGUCCAGACUCCUACGGGAGGCAGCAGUGGGGAAUUUUCCGCAAUGGGCGAAAGCCUGACGGGGCAAUACCGCGUGAGGGAUGACGGCCUAUGGGUUGUAAACCUCUUUUUUCAGGGAGGAAUCAAAUGACGUGUACCUGAAGAAUAAGCAUCGGCUAACUCCGUGCCAGCAGCCGCGGUAAGACGGAGGAUGCAAGUGUUAUCCGGAAUCACUGGGCGUAAAGCGUCUGUAGGUGGUCAAAUAAGUCAACUGUUAAAUCUUGAGGCUCAACCUCGAAAUCGCAGUCGAAACUAUUAGACUAGAGUAUAGUAGAGGUAAGGAGAAUUUCCAGUGGAGCGGUGAAAUGCGUAGAGAUUGGAAAGAAUACCGAUGGCGAAGGCACCUUACUGGGCUAUUACUAACACUCAGAGACGAAAGCUAGGGUAGCAAAUGGGAUUAGAUACCCCAGUAGUCCUAGCUGUAAACAAUGGAUACUAGAUGUUGAACAGAUCGACCUGUGCAGUAUUAAAGCUAACGCGUUAAGUAUC
rnacentral:rRNA from 1 species